UUGUGGAAUUACGGGCAACUUUGUCAGAAAGCGCGUAAUUUGUACUAUUCAUCCAUCCAUCGGCUGCCGACAAUGAGUGAGAGAAUAGUUCCGGUUGUGAAGACAAGUCCUAUAAGUAUCUACCUUCGCCUUUCACAGCAAAGACACACCCUCUUAACACUUCUUCAUCUCCGAAAAUGCAUUCCCAAAGAAUCCUCCUAAGUUACUCUGUGUUCCUCAUUCCUUGGGAUACUCCUGCGAACAACCCAUCCAGAGCAAAAGUAUUUCAUAUCAUAAUGGUUGAAAGCAAGAGUAUCUCAUAUCAUGCAUUCUCCAUGUCCUUUUCCUUGUCUUUGUUCUAACCUGCAGGACAUGGAGAAAUUGCUCUUGAGUACUCGUCUUCCACUGCUGAUGUACUUCCAAAGAAGCUGCCACAUCUACCUGAAGAACAGAUAAGGCGAGCGAAAAUGAUACCAACAGCAUGUGGAGACAACGUACAGAAGAAACAAGCAGAGAAGAAUGCAGCUUGCACAAUCAUCCCAGCGGAAGGAGUCCGAGCUGAGGAACUAGAGAAGCUGCCACAUCUGCUUGGAGAACAAAUUGGGAACUGCAACAUUCCCAAAGAGCAAAGCCUCGCCGUACAAUAUCAUCAAAUCAUCACUUGCAAGUAAAAAGCUAAGUGUCACCCCGUUCAAGAGGGAAGCUGUGGAAAGUCAACAAACACGACCAAUGAUUACUUAUUAGUUCUUUUCAUUGUCUUUUAUCGUGAUUUUCAAUUUUUCGUUUGCAAUUUUUUUAUUUAUUUUUUAUUAUUAUUUUAUUUUCUUGCGUUACUUAACUGAAUUAUUUCUUUUCUUUGCAGGAACUUUUGGU
rnacentral:lncRNA from 1 species